UACGUAGGGUGCAAGCGUUGUUCGGAAUUACUGGGCGUAAAGGGCGCGUAGGCGGCUUAUCAAGUCAGGCGUGAAAUUCCCGGGCUCAACCUGGGGGCUGCGCUUGAUACUGAUUGGCUUGAAUGCGGGAGAGGAUAGUGGAAUUCCCAGUGUAGAGGUGAAAUUCGUAGAUAUUGGGAAGAACACCGGUGGCGAAGGCGGCUAUCUGGCCCGUAAUUGACGCUGAGGCGCGAAAGCGUGGGGAGCAAACAGG
rnacentral:rRNA from 1 species